rnacentral:rRNA from 1 species
AGCGAACGCUGGCGGCAGGCCUAACACAUGCAAGUCGAACGAACUCUUCGGAGUUAGUGGCGGACGGGUGAGUAACACGUGGGAACGUGCCUUUUGGUUCGGAAUAACUCAGGGAAACUUGUGCUAAUACCGAAUGUGCCCUUCGGGGGAAAGAUUUAUCGCCAUUAGAGCGGCCCGCGUCUGAUUAGCUAGUUGGUGAGGUAACGGCUCACCAAGGCGACGAUCAGUAGCUGGUCUGAGAGGAUGACCAGCCACACUGGGACUGAGACACGGCCCAGACUCCUACGCGAGGCAGCAGUGGGGGAUCUUGCGCAAUGGGCGAAAGCCUGACGCAGCCAUGCCGCGUGAAUGAUGAAGGUCUUAGGAUUGUAAAAUUCUUUCACCGGGGACGAUAAUGACGGUACCCGGAGAAGAAGCCCCGGCUAACUUCGUG